CUGGCACUGGCGGCCGAGGUUCCGCGCUGAAGAGGAGGGAGGAGGGGGGCCCGGCCUGGCAGGUCGUGGCCCUGUGGGGCAAAACCCUGCAGGGCCACGUGAUGGGACCUGGGCUGGUCCCUGCGGCGCCACUUAGCAACGGGCUGCAAGAAGAGACGACUUCGGAGGGCCCAGGGUCCUUUGAGCUCCUAGAGGUCCCGUGUGGAACCAUCUGGAAGAGGUAGGAUCCCCUCGCGAGUUUACCCCGGACGUGUGGCGAAUAAAGUUAAGCAUUUUUAACGAUUUUUUACCAUUGAGAUGUUUAUGGAAGAAAGUUUGAAUUUGCUGCCAGGCAUCUACCUGUGCCUUUGAGUGAGCCUUUGGCUCACCUCCAUAGAAUAUUGCCUCACCCAAAACAGCGUGCACAGA
ensembl:lncRNA novel transcript, antisense to ACOT6